AGCAUCCCGCUCUCGGUCAAAUUGAUGAUGAAUUGGAAAGGAGUUCGUCUUCAAAGACUAGUUUUACACCCAAAGAAAUGUUCGCCAGAAAUUCUAAGAUCAAGUCUGAUUUCAAGAGUGAUAUGUCUCAGUACACAACAAAACUUGACAAGACCAGGUUCUGCAAACGGCAAGUUGMUUUUGACGAGGAAAAGGGGAGGAAAAUCAUCAAGGAGAAUAUGAACAAGUCGGCAAAAAAGAYAAAACCUGG